GUCCAGAGCACAAUGAUGUAUUUAUUUCCAAGCACAUAUCUGAAUUGUGUGUGGAGAACAACAUGCCUGAGUGAUCUGGUU